AGUGAACGCUGGCGGUAGGCCUAACACAUGCAAGUCGAACGGCAGCACAGUAAGAGCUUGCUCUUACGGGUGGCGAGUGGCGGACGGGUGAGGAAUACAUCGGAAUCUACUUUUUCGUGGGGGAUAACGUAGGGAAACUUACGCUAAUACCGCAUACGACCUACGGGUGAAAGCAGGGGAUCUUCGGACCUUGCGCGAUUGAAUGAGCCGAUGUCGGAUUAGCUAGUUGGGGGGGUAAAGGCCCACCAAGGCGACGAUCCGUAGCUGGUCUGAGAGGAUGGUUAGCCAAACUGGAACUGGGACACGGUCCAGACUCCUACGGGAGGCAGCAGUGGGGAAUAUUGGACAAUGGGCGGAAGCCUGAUCCAGCCAUACCGCGUGGGUGAAGAAGGCCUUCGGGUUGUAAAGCCCUUUUGUUGGGAAAGAAAAGCAGCAGGUUAAUACCCCGCUGUUCUGACGGUACCCAAAGAAUAAGCACCGGCUAACUUCGUG
rnacentral:rRNA from 1 species